AUUGUUUUACACAUUGGUCCCUCCCUAGUCUCUGUUCCCAAUGCAGCUCAUCCCAAAUCUUGCUUCUUUCCCUCCCACCUGUCCCCUCAGUCCCAACCCCAAGCGUCGCGGAGUCUCCAAUCUUCCUUUUCUACGGACCCAUCUGACCUCUCCCCUCCUCCCCAGGCUGCUCCUCGCCAGGCCGAGCCAGGUUCCAAUUCUUCCUCAGCCUCUGCUCCUCCACCCUAUAAUCCUUUUAUCACCUCUCCUCCUCACACCCAGUCUGGCUUACAGUUUCGUUCCGCAACUAGCCCUCUCCCACCUGCCCAGCAAUUUCCUCUUAAAAAGGUGGCUGGAGCUAAAGGUAUAGUCAAGGUUAAUGCUCCUUUUCCUUUAUCCAACCUCUCCCAAAUCAGUUAGCGUUUAGGCUCUUUCUCAUCAAAUAUGAAAAACCCAGCCCAGUUCAUGGUUCGUUUGGCAGCAACCCUGAGACGCUUUACAGCCCUAGACCCUGAAAGGUCAGAAGGCCGUUUUAGUCUCAAUAUGCACUUUGUUACCCAAUCCGCUCCCGACAUUAAAUAAAGCUCCAAAAAUUAAAUUCCAGCCCUCAAACCCCAUAAUAGCACUUAAUUAACCUCGCUUUCAAGGUAUACAAUAAUACAGUUGAGGCAGCCAAGUAGCAAUGUAUUUCUGAGUUGCAAUUCCUUGCCUCCACUGUGAGACAAACCCCAGCCACAUCUCCAGCACACAAGAACUCCAAACGCCUGAACCACAGCUGCCAGGGGUUCCUCCAGAACCUCCUCCCGCAGCUUGCUACAAGUGCCAGAAAUCUGGCCACUGGGCCAAGGAAUGCCGGCAGCCCGGGAUUCCUCCUAAGUCGUGUCCCAUCUGUGCAGGACCCCACUGUUCAACUCACCUGGCAGCCACUCCCAGAGCCCCUGGAACUCUGGCCCAAGGCUCUCUGACUGACUCCUUCCCAGAUUUACUCGGCUUAGCGGCUGAAGACCGAUGCUGCCCGAUUGCCUCGGAAGCCCCCUAGACCAUCACGGACGCCAAGCUUUGGGUAACUCUCACAGUGGAGGGGGGGAAACACUGUGGACUGGCAUGCUGCUGGCCACCACUUCCCAGCUGAAGACUCAGGAGCGCCAUGUGGAAGAACUCAUCUCACAGAUAUUGGCAAAAGCUACCAAGCAGGACUUGAUUUAUUGUUUUGUUCAUUGUCUAGACUAAGAAAGUGAUGAAAUGUUAAUAAUGGAUAAUGAUUAAUGAAAUGGAUAAUGAAAAUGAAAAAUAAUUAAUGUAAAUUAAAUGUGAAAGUGUGUCCUACUUGUAGCUGUUAUACUGUGAAUAACUUUAAGAAGAAACCUUAGUAAAUAUUCCUCCAGUUUUCAAAAAUUAUUUUCUAGUUCGGCAAAGAAGUCAUUCACAUCACUGAUAAAUGAAUGAAGUUCUAACAGAUGUCUUUAUUGAUUCACUUUUAUUUUAUUUGUUAACAUAAAUGAAAAUACAGGUGAUGUUCAUGUCAGAACACUUUCAUCAAAUGCAACCACAGUUUGGCUAUGAAUAUAGAAGCCUGGCAAAAAUCAAUAAAAGCAGUCUGUGAGAAUCAAUUGAUUAUAAGGAAUUUCCAAUAAAGAAUAUUAUAUAUGUUGUUACUUGUAAAUAGCAUGAUAUACCUUCUUUAUAUCAGAAAAGUUUAUAAUAAAGUUAUGUGUGUAUGUAUAUAUA
rnacentral:lncRNA from 10 species